CCUACGGGUCGCAGCAGUGAGGAAUAUUGGUCAAUGGACGAGAGUCUGAACCAGCCAAGUAGCGUGAAGGAUGACUGCCCUAUGGGUUGUAAACUUCUUUUAUAUGGGAAUAAAAUGUUCCACGUGUGGGAUUUUGUAUGUACCAUAUGAAUAAGGAUCGGCUAACUCCGUGCCAUCAGCCGCGGUAAUACGGAGGAUCCGACCGUUAUCCGGAUUUAUUGGGGUUAAAGGGGGCGUAGGUGGAUUGUUAAGUCAGUUGUGAAAGUUUGCGGAUCAACCGUAAAAUUGCAGUUGAAACUGGCAGUCUUGAGUACAGUAGAGGUGGGCGGAAUUCGUGGUGUAGCGGUGAAAUGCUUAGAUAUCACGAAGAACUCCGAUUGCGAAGGCAGCUCACUGGACUGCAACUGACACUGAGGCUCGAAAGUGUGGGUAUCAAACAGGAUUAGAUACCCUUGUAGUC
rnacentral:rRNA from 1 species